ACCUACGGGGGGCAGCAGUGAGGAAUAUUGGUCAAUGGGCGAGAGCCUGAACCAGCCAAGUCGCGUGAGGGAAGACGGUCCUAUGGAUUGUAAACCUCUUUUGCCGGGGAGCAAAAAGCGGUACGUGUACCGCAUCGAGAGUACCCGGAGAAAAAGCAUCGGCUAACUCCGUGCCAGCAGCCGCGGUAAUACGGAGGAUGCGAGCGUUAUCCGGAUUUAUUGGGUUUAAAGGGUGCGCAGGCGGCGAGUUAAGUCAGCGGUAAAAUUUCGGGGCUCAACCCCGACGAUCCGUUGAAACUGGCUUG
rnacentral:rRNA from 1 species